rnacentral:lncRNA from 1 species
AAAUUCUAGCAAAGGGAAUGUUCAUGGAAAGCCUAAACUAUCGAGAUUCGGUAGGGCUGCUCUUGCUCAUGCUGCUGCUGCUGCAACUUCUAGUGUACAAAUCCAACCAAUUUCUGCAGCAUUUGGACAAAUGAGUCUUAGUUAGAGAGCCAAUAGAUGGGCAAACAAGAAAAAGAAAAACUCAAGAUCAAGAUUCUACUUUUUAAAGAAGUUACUUGAUUAAUGAUUACUAGAUCUUGCUUACUUGCUCUGUAUAGUUUCAAUUUGGUAAAUACCAAAAAAAAAUGACAACUAUACAACUGUAAAUAUCUUUUUCUCUUUACUUGGGAAUGGCUUUGUAAAUAGUGACAUAUAAUCAAGAAGUACCUGCAGCAGCUACACUCAAGUUUUUAGUACUGAUGAGUGUCUUGGUUGUUAUCAAUGCUGUGUUAACUUGACUGCAAAUAUCCAUAU